AGGGUUCGAUUCUGGCUCAGGAUGAACGCUAGCUACAGGCUUAACACAUGCAAGUCGAGGGGCAGCAUGAUCGAAGCUUGCUUUGAUUGAUGGCGACCGGCGCACGGGUGAGUAACGCGUAUCCAACCUUCCCUAUAGUAGAGGAUAGCCCGGCGAAAGUCGGAUUAAUACUCUAUGUUUUCCAAUGCAGACAUCUAAAAUGGAACAAAGGUUUACCGCUAUAGGAUGGGGAUGCGUCUGAUUAGAUAGUAGGCGGGGUAACGGCCCACCUAGUCGACGAUCAGUAGGGGUUCUGAGAGGAAGGUCCCCCACAUUGGAACUGAGACACGGUCCAAACUCCUACGGGAGGCAGCAGUGAGGAAUAUUGGUCAAUGGGCGAGAGCCUGAACCAGCCAAGUAGCGUGCAGGAUGACGGCCCUAUGGGUUGUAAACUGCUUUUAUACAGGGAUAAAGUGCGCCACGUGUGGCGUUUUGUAGGUACUGUAUGAAUAAGGACCGGCUAAUUCCGUGCCAGCCGCGGC
rnacentral:rRNA from 1 species